rnacentral:rRNA from 1 species
UACGGGGGGGGCAAGCGUUGUUCGGAAUUACUGGGCGUAAAGGGCUCGUAGGCGGCCAACUAAGUCGGACGUGAAAUCCCCAGGCUCAACCUGGGAACUGCGUCCGAUACUGGAUGGCUUGAAUCCGGGAGAGGGAUGCAGAAUUCCAGGUGUAGCGGUGAAAUGCGUAGAUAUCUGGAGGAACACCGGUGGCGAAGGCGGCAUCCUGGACCGGCAUUGACGCUAAAGCGCGAAAGCCAGGGGAGCAAACGGG